rnacentral:rRNA from 1 species
AUUUAUAGCAGCUUAUAGAUAUUAAUGUAUAAUAUUAGGUAAUUAUGAUUUUACUAUUAUAAAAUUAUAAGCCAAAAAUGUUUAGUUGAAUUUAGAGAUUGUUCAACCACAUAUGGGUAUGCAAACUACCCUAUCUAUUCGACAGCAGUGAGGAAUUUUGGACAAUAUGCGAAAGCAUGAUCCAGCGAACUGAUGAAAACGAAGAAGGUGACUUUAACUGUAAAGUUUAAUGCGAAUUUUAGCACAUUGAGCUAAAAAUUAAGAGAAGCUCUGGCUAAUACAUGUGCCAGCAGCCGCGGUAAUACAUGAGGAGCUAGCGUUAUCUAUAUUGACUGAGUGUAUUAAAUACGUAGAGAUUUAAAAUAUAUUAAUAUAACGUCGUAAUUAAAAAUAAAUGUAUUAAUAAAUUUUAGAAUUUAAUUUAAAUUAAGGAAGUAAAACUUAUAAUACAGCGAUUAAAUGCAGUUACAUUAUAAGGCUUUCCUAAAACUAAGGUAGCUUGCUAAUUUAAAUUGAACUUGAUGUAUGAAAGUAUGGGUAUCGAUAAGGAGUAGUUGCCCUAGUAGUCCAUACUGUAAAAGAUGAAUAUUCUAUGAUUUUUUAAUCAGGAGUAGUUAACAUAAAAUAUUCUGCUUGGGGAGUAUUAUCGCAAGAUUGAAACUUAACUGAAUUGGCGGGAAUUUGUUCGAACGGUGGAACAUGUGGUUUAAUGCGAUAAUCCACGCAAAAUCUUACCAACAUUUGAAGCUUUUCUAGUAGUAUAAUUAGUAUUAAAACUAAAUAGAUUAGUACGGUAUUGCAUGGCUGUCGUCAGUUCGUGCUGUGAGGUAUAGGAUUAAGUUUUUUUUAACGAAUGUAACCCUAUAAAUAAGUUUUUAUAAUAAUAUUUUACUUAUAUUUUAUGUACUUAUUUAUUCUGUAAUUGGUUACUAGAUUUAUCUUUAAAUUUUUAACUAAUUACAGGGGUUUUAGGCUGAAGUCAAGUCCCUAUGGUCUUUAUAUGUUGGGCUACACACGUGUUACAAGGAUAAAAACAAAGAGCGGCAAAAACUUAAAUUUUAGCAAAUCUCUAAAAAUUAUCUUAGUUCAGAUUGUUUCAUGAAAUUCUGAAACAUGAAGAUGAAAUCGUUAGUAAUUGUAAAUUAAAAUGUUACAGUGAAUUAAUUGUCAAAUUUUGCACACACCGCCCAUCACGCUCGGAGAGUCAUUAAUGGUGGAAAAAGCUAAAGUUUCUUCUUAAACUAAUAAUUGUAUUCAUAAUUUUUUUAUGAAGUAGUUAAUGAUUAAUUUUGAAUCUAUUACUGGUAAUUUGAGUGAAGUUGACACAAGGUACUGGUAGGGGAACCUGUUGGUGGAAUAUAUUAUAA